rnacentral:rRNA from 1 species
AGUGAACGCUGGCGGUAGGCCUAACACAUGCAAGUCGAACGGCAGCACAGUAAGAGCUUGCUCUUACGGGUGGCGAGUGGCGGACGGGUGAGGAAUACAUCGGAAUCUACUUUUUCGUGGGGGAUAACGUAGGGAAACUUACGCUAAUACCGCAUACGACCUACGGGUGAAAGCAGGGGAUCUUCGGACCUUGCGCGAUUGAAUGAGCCGAUGUCGGAUUAGCUAGUUGGCGGGGUAAAGGCCCACCAAGGCGACGAUCCGUAGCUGGUCUGAGAGGAUGGUCAGCCACACUGGAACUGAGACACGGUCCAGACGCCUGCGGGAGGCAGCAGUGGGGAAUAGUGGACAAUGGGCGCAAGCCUGAUCCAGCCAUACCGCGUGGGUGAAGAAGGCCUUCGGGUUGUAAAGCCCUUUUGUGGGGAAAGAAAAGCAGCAGGUUAAUACCCCGCUGUUCUGACGGUACCCAAAAAAUAAGCACCGGCUAACUUCGUG